rnacentral:rRNA from 1 species
UUUGGACGAGGGGCCCCUCUCGGGUUACCGAAUUCAGACAAACUCCGAAUGCCAAUUAAUUUAACUUGGGAGUCAGAACAUGGGUGAUAAGGUCCGUGUUCGAAAGGGAAACAGCCCAGACCACCAGCUAAGGUCCCAAAAUAUAUGUUAAGUGGAAAAGGAUGUGGCGUUGCCCAGACAACUAGGAUGUUGGCUUAGAAGCAGCCAUCAUUUAAAGAGUGCGUAAUAGCUCACUAGUCGAGUGACACUGCGCCGAAAAUGUACCGGGGCUAAACAUAUUACCGAAGCUGUGGAUUGUCCUUUGGACAAUGGUAGGAGAGCGUUCUAAGGGCGUUGAAGCAUGAUCGUAAGGACAUGUGGAGCGCUUAGAAGUGAGAAUGCCGGUGUGAGUAGCGAAAGACGGGUGAGAAUCCCGUCCACCGAUUGACUAAGGUUUCCAGAGGAAGGCUCGUCCGCUCUGGGUUAGUCGGGUCCUAAGCUGAGGCCGACAGGCGUAGGCGAUGGAUAACAGGUUGAUAUUCCUGUACCACCUAUAAUCGUUUUAAUCGAUGGGGGGACGCAGUAGGAUAGGCGAAGCGUGCGAUUGGAUUGCACGUCUAAGCAGUAAGGCUGAGUAUUAGGCAAAUCCGGUACUCGUUAAGGCUGAGCUGUGAUGGGGAGAAGACAUUGUGUCUUCGAGUCGUUGAUUUCACACUGCCGAGAAAAGCCUCUAGAUAGAAAAUAGGUGCCCGUACCGCAAACCGACACAGGUAGUCAAGAUGAGAAUUCUAAGGUGAGCGAGCGAACUCUCGUUAAGGAACUCGGCAAAAUGACCCCGUAACUUCGGGAGAAGGGGUGCUCUUUAGGGUUAACGCCCAGAAGAGCCGCAGUGAAUAGGCCCAAGCGACUGUUUAUCAAAAACACAGGUCUCUGCUAAACCGUAAGGUGAUGUAUAGGGGCUGACGCCUGCCCGGUGCUGGAAGGUUAAGAGGAGUGGUUAGCUUCUGCGAAGCUACGAAUCGAAGCCCCAGUAAACGGCGGCCGUAACUAUAACGGUCCUAAGGUAGCGAAAUUCCUUGUCGGGUAAGUUCCGACCCGCACGAAAGGCGUAACGAUUUGGGCACUGUCUCAACGAGAGACUCGGUGAAAUCAUAGUACCUGUGAAGAUGCAGGUUACCCGCGACAGGACGGAAAGACCCCGUGGAGCUUUACUGUAGCCUGAUAUUGAAAUUCGGCACAGCUUGUACAGGAUAGGUAGGAGCCUUUGAAACGUGAGCGCUAGCUUACGUGGAGGCGCUGGUGGGAUACUACCCUAGCUGUGUUGGCUUUCUAACCCGCACCACUUAUCGUGGUGGGAGACAGUGUCAGGCGGGCAGUUUGACUGGGGCGGUCGCCUCCUAAAAGGUAACGGAGGCGCUCAAAGGUUCCCUCAGAAUGGUUGGAAAUCAUUCAUAGAGUGUAAAGGCAUAAGGGAGCUUGACUGCGAGACCUACAAGUCGAGCAGGGUCGAAAGACGGACUUAGUGAUCCGGUGGUUCCGCAUGGAAGGGCCAUCGCUCAACGGAUAAAAGCUACCCCGGGGAUAACAGGCUUAUCUCCCCCAAGAGUUCACAUCGACGGGGAGGUUUGGCACCUCGAUGUCGGCUCAUCGCAUCCUGGGGCUGUAGUCGGUCCCAAGGGUUGGGCUGUUCGCCCAUUAAAGCGGUACGCGAGCUGGGUUCAGAACGUCGUGAGACAGUUCGGUCCCUAUCCGUCGUGGGCGUAGGAAAUUUGAGAGGAGCUGUCCUUAGUACGAGAGGACCGGGAUGGACAUACCUCUGGUGUACCAGUUGUCGUGCCAACGGCAUAGCUGGGUAGCUAUGUGUGGACGGGAUAAGUGCUGAAAGCAUCUAAGCAUGAAGCCCCCCUCAAGAUGAGAUUUCCCAACUUCGGUUAUAAGAUCCCUCAAAGAUGAUGAGGUUAAUAGGUUCGAGGUGGAAGCAUGGUGACAUGUGGAGCUGACGAAUACUAAUCGAUCGAAGACUUAAUCAA